CCAAGGAGUCUAACAUGUGCGCGAGUCGGUGAGAUUUAUGUCAAGUGUACGAGACUCACAGGCGCAAUGAAAGUGAAGGCGUUGCCCUUAAUGCUACACUGAAAAGUGCGGUAGAUGAUGGGAGUAGCGCUAAGGCAGGAUCUGAAAAUUUUUAAACAAAUUUUCCGUCUCGUUGCCUUAAGCAAGCGGCGAGGACGGCAGCGCACUGCCAGCCCAUCGCGAUCGUUUAUCAAGUCGAUGCGGUGGAGCAUGAGCACACACGUUGGGACCCGAAAGAUGGUGAUCUAUGCUUGAGCAGGACGAAGCCAGAGGAAACUCUGGUGGAGGUCCGUAGCGAUUCUGACGUGCAAAUCGAUCGUCGGACNUGAGUAUAGGGGCG
rnacentral:rRNA from 1 species